GUUGCUGAGUAGAUACCGCAGGAGAGGAGCUUAUUUCUCUCUCUCCAGUCUGACAGGAAGCAAUUGGGCCCUCACUUCCUGUCAGACCGGCCAGGCAGAGGGAAACAAGCUCCUCUACCGCGGUCUGCGCUCGGCAACAC